AUCUUCCAAGACGUCCAAGACAUCAAAUAAGUAACAUGUUAAAGAAAACCUGUGGAUCAAAGGCAGUUAAACAGUCUUAUGAUUUAAUGAUUGUAAUCAGUUAACAUAAUCCGAAAUUGAAUCUUCUAAACAGAUUGUAUUUGAAAACAAAGUAAUUCAUGUUGACCCAUAUCACAAAAGGCAUAAGCAGUAACAACAACAACAAUAUAGAUAUCUCAAAUACAAUCUGUUUAGAAGAUUAAAUGCAAGAAAUGCAUGAAGACUGUGUUAAACUGACUUGAUCCACAGGUUUGCUUUAACAUGUUACAUGGUAUUUGUGUUGUUGUGCUAUCUUGUACUAAGCUAUGUAUUGCUACGCUAAUUUGACAGGUAUACUGAUCACCUGGCAUACAGAAAAUGAAACCCCUGAUCUCAUGGGUAUGCCAGGUACAAGGGGGUGCCAUUGUUGUCUGUAUUCAGAUUUUUUUCAAUGACAUGGAUGCCAGCCUUUUCAUUAGGAC
ensembl:lncRNA